GAAAACCGCCGGAACUAUUGCUCAACAGCACUUCAGAACAUUACAGGAAAAUCUGGUUCCCUGGAAUUAAAGCUCUAAGAAUUAUUGCCGGCUAACCGGUUCCUGCUCGUCAAGAUUUCUUUAUGAUGGCGCCUUGACAAUUUCAGCCUUUUAAUAAUGCAGUAGCCUUUCUAAAUCGCGCGCUAGGUGACGUCACUGAACAGGGCGUGAUCUGGGGAGGUGCAGCGACCGCGAGCGCAGUCACCGUUGAAACGGUUAAAAAAUAGAGCAGUCGCGAUAAGCAGCGGGUCUCGGCAGUUAGCGGAGGGAAAACACGGGAGGUCUUCGGUAAACAGACGACGAUUAGUCACCGGGAACCGCACGUGAUGGAUUUAUUUCACUUUUUCGCUGCUUUUGGAGUGGCUCUAGGCUGACUGCCAAGCAAGUGAGUUGAACCGAUUCCGGAGGAGUUUAUUUUUCCCCACCUGUCAGGAGUAACAGUCAUAUCGAGCAGCUGAACUAGACCCUCCACAAUUCAGUCUUUUCUCUGCCUCCUCCCCUUCCCGAUCCCUUUUCCCCAUUGGCUGUUGUUCCCAGACGGUGGACAAAAGUAUGGGGUAAAAGUGCUGAGGAGACACCAGGAGAACAAGAGCUGAGGAGGCCCACUCACCUGCACAGGUGUC
rnacentral:lncRNA from 1 species